CCUGCAGAUAAGACAGCUGUGUCCCACCUGCAAUUCUCUGGGCGAAUUGGGAUCCAACAUUGGCUGAGUCCUUACUGCCUUCAAUUCUUUGAGAAUUUUCUGGACUUGACCGAGGUCCUUUUCAGACCUUCUUUGCCAGCUUUGCUGGGAGUAGAGACUGCUAGGUGAGUAGACCCACCUGUCUCAGCGUAAGUGUAGGUCAUGCCAAGCAGACUUUUCCUCCGCUUUCCAGGAUGGCAGGGGAGGAGUGUAGCUGGUGGGUUAGGACCCAGGAUGGGACCCCAAGGGCCACAUGAUUUGUUAGCGGCACAAUUCAGAGUAAAACUGACCCCUAUGUUUGGCAGGUUUCCCUCUAAGCCCUGCAAUCUCUGAGAGUGUCUCUCAAAAUGCAGGAAAGAGGACAAGGAAAGUAGGGGGUCGGGGGUCUUUCCCCAGCUUCACAAACCGUGAUUGGGCUGCAGGAUGGUGCCAUGUCUUCAUGACUCUUGGAAACUCAAAUUCCCUGUAGUCAGGAGUCUCUCAAAUUCUUCAUAAAUGGCAUCAUAUCAUUGAUAACUAUAAUGAGUACAUGCCCAGUGAAAAUAAUAAUAGCAGCAAAAGCAGCAAUAAAUUGGGGUAAUUUUCUAGUCAACUUCUAUUUUUCGAAUAUAGUGCUACAUUUCAAAGGUCUUUUUUAUAGAAGCCAGGGGUAACGUAUACUGGGUGAAGAGGAAUCAGAAGAGCGGUAUUUCCAUCAAGGAUCCCUAGAAUGGAGUGUGUUGGGAUGCUGGGAAUGUCAUAUAGUCUGAUGGAGGCGGCAUUUCUGUACAUAGGUGCAUACACAUGUAAAAUGCAUUGAGCUUUACACUGAAGAUUCACGCACUCUAUAUAAAGUGUACCACACAGAAAGGGCAAACGUCCCUUCGACGUGUCUUUCCACCAUAGGCAGUUCACAUGUCUUGUCUGAUUUCAUCUUCACUGCACAGCUGCGUAGAAUUGUUGAUGGGUUUACAGAGGGGGAAGCUCAGCUCUGCCACUCACCACUGCAAGCUCAGACACUCUCCCGGAAAUGCCGCUUCUUUAUCUGAAAGUGGUUCCUGCUAAAUUAGAUUAUAGGGGGUUGUCUGUAAACCCUUGGUCACCACUCCAGCCCUGCUUUGUCUGCACAUCACCCUAAUCGAGGCGGAUGCCACUGUGCGCUGAUGCACUGAACCGCAGGGGUUUGGAAGAGCUGGCAUGAUGAUCCCAGAAAUUAGGACAAGGCUGGGCGUUCUCCAAGAGCAUCAGGCUCUGCCUCUUCCCACUUCAGGCUCAUGGUGGAUGUAAAUGAAUUGUUCGUUGAAUUGAACUGAGCAGAGAGAAGCUGAAAAAUAAUCCCUCUCGACUAUGUUUCCCUGGAGAUCAAUCCAGGCACGCACAGGUACAACCAAGUCAAAUCUCAAGUCACCGAGUCAUUAUUACUCUCCUAUGAUGGACCAGAAGAGGUUGUAUUCAGUUAUUCAUUUGUUUAUUCAACAGACAUUUAUCUGUUGAGCUCCUGCAUGUGUCAGAAACUGUGCUGGGCGCUGGGGUAGUUACAAAGAGGUAAACCCUUCACCCUAAAAUAACUCAGGAAGAGGGCACAUUCUGUGAUAAAUGUAACACAGUGUGUUCACUCCCAAGGCUCCUGAAAUCUGCAGGAGGGGCAUUUUAGCUGGGGGCACGUGCAAGGCAUGCAGAUAAGUUGCAAACUUAUCUCUGUUUAAGUCAGAAGAGCAAAGGGAAGAAAAUGGGCAUUGGGUAAAUUCCAUCGUGUUCCUGGCUUUGAACUAGGGGUUUUUACAUAGUUUGUCUGGUUGCACUUCCUAAGACCCUUGCAAAGGAAAGGGUUUUCCCCUCAUUUUGCAGCUAAGGACACAAGAGUUUUAGAGAGGUGAAGAUGACCUGUUCAAGGUCAGAGAACUAGAAUGUAGCCCAUCAGAGUCUGAAGGGUAAUUUUCCUGGCACCAUUGAGGGGCGUAGAAUGGAAAGGGUUGCUGGGUUGGGAAGCUGGCUGGGUAGCCCAUCCCGCAGAGUCUGCACUUUAUCCUACAGACAGCUCUGCUGCUUGGCAGCUCAGGGGCCAGAUUUGGGUUGUGGUAAUUGUCAAAUAGCAGCGAGUGGAAGUGUAGAGCAUGAAGUCUAGAGCCAGAUGCCUGGUGGGUAAUGUCAAUUCCACCUCACACCAGCUGUGCCAUGUGGGGCGGGUGACUCAGCUACUCUGAGCCUCAUUUUCCUCAUCUGCAAAAUAGAGAUAGUCACACCACUUCCUCUCUCCCAGGGCUGCUGAGAGGAGUGAAUGAGUGUCACAUUAUCCUGUGAGAAGCAGUGCCCAGAACAGAGAAGUGCAUAAUGUAUGUUAACAAUUCUAAUGAAUAUACAGCACCUAGCACAGUCUCUGGUACCUAAGUGGUAUUUAAUAAAUGAUCAUUUUUCUUAUCUUGUGUUUUACCAGAAUUAUCAAAUAUCUACAAUGCUUAAUUGAUCUGUAGCACAAUAAGGUAAAGAAGGAAGUAUUGGUCAGCUACUGAUGCCAUCUGGAGACAGGGGCAUCGUUUAUUCAUUGAGAAUAAACCUUUUUGGGCAACUCAGAAGUUAGGGACCUACGAGAACGCACUUUCUUGACUCGAGAUGAGUUUCUGUGUCCUGCUGUGUGGCCGUGAUGUGAGGGGUUGCACAGCCAUUCACAGAUCGCUCAUGUUUGUAACAGGGGGGUCUUUUCCGCGGCUGGCUGGCUUGGAGCUGGUUAAAAGUUUCUUAUUUUAGAGUGCUGCUUGAGAAGUACCCCAAUUUUACUGCAAAAUCUAGAUACUUUUCCUUUGGCUGUACCACCAACCCACUGUGUCAUCCUGGAGGUGUCCCUUUCCUGUUCAUUUGCUUAUUUGAUCUUCAUAAUAUCCCAUUUAAUAAAUGGGAAAGUGAGAGAAAUGAAGAGACCUGCCUCAAAUUACAGAGACAAUUAGACUAAGGAUGAAAUAGGAAUGAGAACCAGAAACUGGGAACUCCUGGCUAGAUUUGGCUGUCAGGAGAAUCUAACAGCUCCACAAGGCAGGGGUAUCAGACGCCCUCCACCCCCAGGACCCAGACCAGCUCCCCAUGGACCCCUCUGUGCACCCUGGGCCAAUUUCCCACCCCAACUCUGCAGGGUUGCAGCCCCUCCCUUCAUGACAACCUUCUCCAGGGGUCUCUGCUGCUGCAGAGGUGAGAGACACCUGGAGCCUGGCCAAGACCGAAUCAGUAGCCGGGGAGUGUAGGAGAGUGAAUGCCCCAGGGAGCAAACCUUUGACCUAUGGGAUGUGGGAGCCGGUGGACGCGUUCUUCCCCCUACCCCCUCCCCUCCCCAACUGUCUGUUUCCUGGUGUGGUACUUCAUAGGCCUCUUAGAGACAGUCCCUCAUGAAUAAACAAUACCACAUGGAGGCCAGCUCAGUGAUGCAGGAGGGGUAUGCAUCCCCCUCCUUCCCUGCCCCCCACCUCCCCUUUUCUCUCUCUCUCCAGCUUCUUUAGAAUUCUCUCUAGUCAAGUAGUAACACAUAGGCUUUUGCUCAGCCUCUGCUCAGUGGGAUUCUCAGAGAAAGUGAUUUCACUCUCUUUAUUAUUAAUUAGGAUAGAUAAAAGGCUGGAGGGAAGGAGGGAGAGAGAGGAGGGGGGAGAGAUGGAGAGAAGAGGUGGCACUGACUGUAGAUGAAUAUUGAAGAAGCAUGAUGAGUAUUACAGGAGUUGAGACCAGUACAGUGGUUCAGGUUCAGUGCACAGACUCUACAGCCUACUGCCUGCAUUACAUCCUUCUUUCGUUAAUUACAAGCCUGUAAUUGGGCAAGUUACUGACCCUUCUGUUUCCUCAUCUGUAAAGUGUAGAUGAUAAUAAUUUCUGCCUCAUAGGGUUUCUGUAAAUAUUAAAUGUUCUGAUAUUUGUAAAACACCUAGAACAGUGUCUGAAACAGUAUAAGCAUUAUGUGUUUAUUAAACAUGCAAAUCAACAAAGGCCUCUCCCUUGAGCUGGUAUGCAGGACUCUAAGGAAGUUAGUGAGUUUCUCUGGGCCACAGUUUCUUUAGCAAUAAAAUAAAAGGCUUGAGUUACAGUCGAGUAUCUGACCAGUUCUGAUCCUGGAUAUUUUAAAGAGAACCCAGGUACUAAUGCAAAUCCAGCAGGGGUGGUCUUAAUGAUCUUGUAUAAAUGGUCUUAAGUUUUAUGUAAAUUUUGCCAUAAUUAAUCCUCACAAGAGGUCUAUGAGGUUGCAGUGAGUUCCCUGCACUUUACAGAUGAGAAAGAGAAGGCUCAGAGAGGUUAAGUAACUUGUGCGUGGUUACACAGUGAGCUGUGGGGGGGAGAAUGCAAACUUGGAUCUGGUUGACUCAAAAGCCCUACCAAGUGAUAUCCUGUUCUAGGGCUGACAAACUAUGACUGUAUAGAUCUAAGUUCUGGUGUUAAACAUGUGAAGAGUGGGCUGGUUGCAUCUUGGCAAUUUGUAGAUUACUGACUGGGUGCCCUUCUGCAUACUUGAUGGCUCAUGAGAAAAAGGGGGACAGUUGCCCAAUGGUCUGGGGUCGGAGCGUGAGACGAGAUGGAUCGAUCUGUGGGCUGGAAUAUAAGGGUCCAGAUAAGGAAUGAAGCACACAUUUUGAAGGGAAAAUACCAUUUGGGUUAGAAUUCACUUAUUUCUCUGUCUGCCAGAUCCCAUGUUGAAUCUGGCCCAUGGUGGAUGCCCCAGCACAGGUUUCCGUGGGACUACUUCAGCUUUCCCAACAAAUUUGGAUAGAUGAAUGGUUUGGGUUUCUUAAAGUUUUUUUUUUUUUUUUGGCAAGAUGUCUCUAUGUUACUAUGAAACACUUCAUAUUUUAUUAAAGGAAUGAUUGCAUAAAAUAAAUAAGACGUGGUUUCCUUUGUCACCUUCUUAGAAGAAUGGCAGUGGCAGAAAUUCAGAGCCCCGGACUUUCUCUCUAGAUUUGAAGGGGGACAAGGCUGAGGGGUCAUUGGAGGAUGGAGGGGUCGGGGGAGUGAGGAAGAGAGACAUGCACCAGCAAUAGCAUCUCCCCGCUUUGGGUCUCAUUUCUGCAGAAGCCCAAACACUUCCCUUCAGUCCAAGCUAAUAGCAUUUGCUGUGAGUUUAUUUUGAUAUUGUCACAACUGUCCCCAGAGAGUGGCAUUGACAGGCUUUCUUUUCUUUUUGCCUUGGUAUCACAGGACCAGAUUCAUUGCUCACGGGAAUCAGAAUCAUUUCAUCUUGACACCAAACCCUGGCAUCUACAGAUUCCAAGAAACAUGCCUCUGCUUCUCGAGGAGGCUCAGACAGGUCCUUGCGUUGGGGCGACCAGGACAUGACAGACCAUCUGUUUGGCAGAGAUUACUUUAUUUAAGGGCAGGGUGGGCUUGGACUCAGAUAUGCAGAAUGAGCAGUGGAUGGAUUUAUUAUUCUAUUUAAUGCAUGGUUAUUUGAGUACCGUUUUAAGCAUUGGAGACCCAGCAGGGAAAAAGGAUAAUAGUCUCUAUUCUCAGAGAGCAUCAUUUAAAAGGAGAUUCAGAAACUGAACCACUGCUUCCCCCAACAACCGAUUUCCAGCAGGGGUGAUGCCCUAACAGCCGGGCACAAGGAAGGAAAGCAUAUCAGAGAAGCACAGCGUGGUCUGGGGAAGACCCUGCUCAGUAAAUAUUCAGGACCACCAGCUCUGGGUCAGGGACUAGGCCGCAGUGGGCACAACAUGAUGGAGAGACACACACACCCUGCCCACAAGGAGGUCACAUCUGAUGAGUGCAAAAUGGGGUUACAUAUAAGGUGCAUAGAGCAGUAGGGACAGAGAUUCAGUGGCAUGCUUGGGGAAGUCAGGGACUGUUUCAGGGAAGACAGAGUGCGAUCUGAGGCUUGAAGAUGAGUGGUCCGUGCCAGCUGGACAAGACAGCAAGGAAGGAAGGAAAUACACUAAGAUGUGGAGGCAUGAGAGAGUGUGGAAUAAAUAAGAUGUAGCGGGAGUCUGGUACUUAUGAAACACAAAAUAUGACUGGAAGAGAAGAGAAGGGGCAGAACUGGGAGUGGGCAGGCAGCCAAAGGCAGUCCGCACGCCAUGCUGUGGAGUUGUCACCUUUAUCCCGUAGAUGAGGGGGGCUCAUAGAAGAACACGUUGAAUGGUUCGGUGGAACAUCCAGGAAGUCCUGAGACAGUGGUGGUGGUUUUCUUCUUCCCCUUCUCCAUCUCAUUCUUCUUUUCCUCCUCCUCCUCUCCUUCUAAAGUUGACUCUUGUUGAAUAUAUUGUACAAUUACGAGUUUAUUCCUCUGUCUUAACGAGACUCUUGUCAUCAUAGACCCUCCUCGGAUAUUUGUCCAGAAGUUGAGGUCACUAUUCAGUACAUGAUCCUUAUGUCCAGGGUGACAGGUGGGACCGGAGAAGGGAAUCAGAGCACACAAACCAAGGAGGAGCCCUUAACACGACUGGAUCCAGUGGGUUUCAGGCCAUGUGGCACAGAGGUGAUCUUACGCAACUGUAGCAGGUACAGGGGCUCAAAGGGUCAUCCCCCUCAUCCACUGAGGAUAUCUGUUUUUACACUGGUGUUUUUCCAGCCAGAAAAUGUUGCUUGCAAGGAACAGAAAUAGUCCAUAGUUAAAAAGUAAGGAGGACAAAAGGAAUCCAAUGGAAAACCGUGGGUUCAUUCAUAUAAUUGAAAGGAAAGCUCAGCAACUAGGUAAUAAUAAUAAUAAACAUAUAUUGAGCACCUACUAUAUGUCAGUCGCCAUUCAAGAGCUUUACAUGUAUUAAUUCACUUAAUCUUUACAACAAUACUCAGUACUAAAGAGGACAUUAGUAUGAUGCUAAUUUUAUACAUUAGGAAACGGAGACUCGGAGAGGUUAAGUAAUGAACCCAAAGUCACACAGCGAGGCAGCAUCAGAGCCAUGAUUUGAACACACAAUAUCUGGUUUCUGAAUCAGUGCUUUUCACGCCUGUGCUAAAAAACAGGAAGUAGGAAGGUAAAACUGAGUGUUCUAGGUAGAAGGAAAUAAAGAAUGAUUGAUGUCUUCAGAGAAGUGUCACAUGUGACGGGCCUAGCUUGGGACGCCUGCCAUCUUGUAACUGAGGAAGGAGAGGGUCCCUUAUCUGAAAGGCUCCCCAGACUACUUGGAAUAAGGGAGAGUCAUUUCUCAAAACAAGCCCAACACUGGAUUCCACAUAAGAUUUAAUUUGAAGCAACAAACAAAGAAACAAACAAAAAAAGAACUCCACUACUAAAAGAAAAAAGAAAUUAUCACCAGAGACCUCUUAUUUGUAUGUGAAUAAAUAAAAAGUUUUAAAAGUU